UACGGAGGGUGCAAGCGUUAUCCGGAUUCACUGGGUUUAAAGGGUGCGUAGGCGGGUAAGUAAGUCCGUGGUGAAAUCUCUGAGCUUAACUCAGAAACUGCCGUGGAUACUAUUUGCCUUGAAUAUUGUGGAGGUGAGCGGAAUAUGUCAUGUAGCGGUGAAAUGCUUAGAUAUGUCAUAGAACACCGAUUGCGAAGGCAGCUCACAAAGCCACUAUUGACGCUGAGGCACGAAAGCGUGGGGAUCAAACAGG
rnacentral:rRNA from 1 species